rnacentral:rRNA from 1 species
UGGGGAAUAUUGGACAAUGGGGGAAACCCUGAUCCAGCCAUGCCGCGUGAGUGACGAAGGUCUUCGGAUUGUAAAACUCUUUUAGCAGGGAAGAUAAUGACGGUACCUGCAGAAUAAGCCCCGGCUAACUUCGUGCCAGCAGCCGCGGUAAUACGAAGGGGGCUAGCGUUGUUCGGAAUUACUGGGCGUAAAGCGCGCGUAGGCGGACUCUCAAGUCAGGGGUGAAAUCCCGAGGCUCAACCUCGGAAUUGCCUCUGAUACUGGCUGUCUAGAGUCCGAGAGAGGUGGGUGGAAUUCCUAGUGUAGAGGUGAAAUUCGUAGAUAUUAGGAAGAACACCGGUGGCGAAGGCGGCCCACUGGCUCGGUACUGACACUGAGGUGCGAAAGCGUGGGGAGCAAACAGGAUUAGAUACCCGCGUAGUCCCUGAGCGGGCUGGCAAGGCGCAU